UAGAGCACAAGCCGGGAAUGGAAAGCCCGGCGCAAGCAAGGUAGGAGUCGUACCGGCAAAUCCGUACGGCAAUCCGAAGAUGUGAUGCGUACCGAAUUAAGAGUAGGGAAGAGUGUGAGCCAUGCGUCAAGAAAAGCCGCUAUUGUUUGUAUCGCGCCCGUACCGUAAACCGACACAGGUGGAUGAGGAGAGAAUCCUAAGGCCGACGGGAGAAGCAUUGUUAAGGAACUCGGCAAAAUGACUCCGUAACUUCGGGAGAAGGAGUGCCACUGAGAGGUGGCCGCAGAGAAUUGGCCCAAGCAACUGUUUAGCAAAAACACAGGUCUAUGCAAAACCGAAAGGUGAAGUAUAUGGGCUGACGCCUGCCCGGUGCUGGAAGGUUAAGGGGAGAGGUUAGCGCAAGCGAAGCUUUGAACUUAAGCCCCAGUAAACGGCGGCCGUAACAAUAACGGUCCUAAGGUAGCGAAAUUCCUUGUCGGGUAAGUUCCGACCCGCACGAAAGGCGUAAUGAUUUGGGCACUGUCUCAACAAUGCACCCGGUGAAAUUGAAAUACCAGUGAAGAUGCUGGUUACCUGCGCCAGGACGGAAAGACCCCAUGGAGCUUUACUCCAGCUUGAUACUGGGAUUCGGUAUUGCAUGUACAGGAUAGGUGGGAGGCUAAGAAGCGGUAACGCAGUUGCCGUGGAGCUGCUGUUGGGAUACCACCCUUGCAGUACUGGGUUUCUAACCAGCGGCCUUAAACAGGUCGGGGGACAAUGUCAGGUGGGGAGUUUGACUGGGGCGGUCGCCUCCGAAAGGGUAUCGGAGGCGCUCAAAGGUUCCCUCAGAAUGGUCGGAAACCAUUCGAAGAGUGCAAAGGCAGAAGGGAGCUUGACUGCGACACCGACGGGUGGAGCAGGUACGAAAGUAGGACUUAGUGAUCCGGUGGUAUAAAGUGGGAUUGCCAUCGCUCAACGGAUAAAAGCUACCCUGGGAUAACAGGCUUAUCACUCCCAAGAGUUCACAUCGACGGAGUGGUUUGGCACCUCGGUGUCGGCUCAUCGCAUCCUGGGGCUGAAGUAGGUCCCAAGGGUUGGGCUGUUCGCCCAUUAAAGCGGUACGCGAGCUGGGUUCAGAACGUCGUGAGACAGUUCGGUCCCUAUCCGGCGUGGGCGUAGGAUAUUUGAGAGGAGCUGUCCUUAGUACGAGAGGACCGGGAUGGACUGGCCGCUGGUUGAUCUGUUGUUCCGCCAGGAGCAUAGCAGAGUAGCCAAGCCGGGACGGGAUAAACGCUGAAGGCAUCUAAGCGUGAAGCCCCCCUCAAGAUGAGAUAUCCCAACGAAAGUUGUAAGACCCCUUGAAGACGACGAGGUAGAUAGGACAGAGGUGGAAGUGUGGUAACACAUGGAGCUGACUGUUACUAAUAGGUCGAGGGCAUAACC
rnacentral:rRNA from 1 species